rnacentral:rRNA from 1 species
GGUUAAGCGACUAAGCGUACACGGUGGAUGCCCUGGCAAUCAGAGGCGAUGAAGGGCGUGCUAAUCUGCGAUAAGCGUCGGCGAGGUGAUAUGAACCUUUGACCCGGCGAUACCCGAAUGGGGAAACCCAGUGUGUUCCGACACACUAUCAUGUCAUGAAUACAUAGUGGCAUGAGGCGAACCGGGGGAACUGAAACAUCUAAGUACCCCGAGGAAAAGAAAUCAACCGAGAUUCCCCCAGUAGCGGCGAGCGAACGGGGAGGAGCCCAGAGUCUGAAUCAGCGCGUGUGUUAGUGGAAGCGUCUGGAAAGUCGCACGAUACAGGGUGAUAGUCCCGUACACAAAAAUGCACACGUUGUGAACUCGAAGAGUAGGGCGGGACACGUGGUAUCCUGUCUGAAUAUGGG